GACGAACGCUGGCGGCGUGCCUAAUACAUGCAAGUUGAGCGCUGAAGGUUGGUACUUGUACCAACUGGAUGAGCAGCGAACGGGUGAGUAACGCGUGGGGAAUCUGCCUUUGAGCGGGGGACAACAUUUGGAAACGAAUGCUAAUACCGCAUAAAAACUUUAAACACAAGUUUUAAGUUUGAAAGAUGCAAUUGCAUCACUCAAAGAUGAUCCCGCGUUGUAUUAGCUAGUUGGUGAGGUAAAGGCUCACCAAGGCGAUGAUACAUAGCCGACCUGAGAGGGUGAUCGGCCACAUUGGGACUGAGACACGGCCCAAACUCCUACGGGAGGCAGCAGUAGGGAAUCUUCGGCCAUGGACGAAAGUCUGACCGGGCAACGCCGCGUGAGUGAAGAAGGUUUUCGGAUCGUAAAACUCUGUUGGUAGAGAAGAACGUUGGUGGGAGUGGAAAGCUCAUCAAGUGACGGUAACUACCCAGAAAGGGACGGCUAACUACGUG
rnacentral:rRNA from 1 species